UACAGGGGGGGCAAGCGUUGUUCGGAUUUACUGGGCGUAAAGGGCGCGUAGGCGGCCAGCACAAGUCAGUUGUGAAAUCUCCGAGCUUAACUCGGAAAGGUCAACUGAUACUGUGCGGCUAGAGUGCGGAAGGGGCAACUGGAAUUCUUGGUGUAGCGGUGAAAUGCGUAGAUAUCAAGAGGAACACCUGCGGCGAAGGCGGGUUGCUGGGCCGACACUGACGCUGAGGCGCGAAAGCCAGGGGAGCGAACGGG
rnacentral:rRNA from 1 species